rnacentral:misc_RNA from 1 species
UAUGAAGAACGCAGCGAAAUGCGAUAAGUAGUGUGAAUUGCAGAAUUCAGUGAAUCAUCGAAUCUUUGAACGCACAUUGCGCCCCUUGGUAUUCCAUGGGGCAUGCCUGUUCGAGCGUCAUUUGUACCUUCAAGCUUUGCUUGGUGUUGGGUGUUUGUCUCGCCUUUGCGUGUAGACUCGCCUUAAAAUAAUUGGCAGCCGGCGUAUUGAUUUCGGAGCGCAGUACAUCUCGCGCUUUGCACUCAUAACGACAGCGUCCAAAAGUACAUUUUACACUCUUGACCUCGGAUCAGGUAGGGAUACCCGCUGAACUUAAGCAUAUCAAUAAGCGGAGGA